rnacentral:rRNA from 1 species
GAUGAACGCUGGCGGCGUGCCUAAUACAUGCAAGUCGAGCGAACAGACGAGGAGCUUGCUCCUCUGACGUUAGCGGCGGACGGGUGAGUCACACGUGGAUAACCUACCUAUAUGACUGGGAUAACUUCGGGAAACCGGAGCUCAUACCGGAUAAUAUAUUUAACCGCAUGGUUCAAUAGUGAAAGACGGUUUUGCUGUCACUUAUAGAUGGAUCCGCGCCGCAUUAGCUAGUUGGUAAGGUAACGGCUUACCAAGGCAACGAUGCGUAGCCGACCUGAGAGGGUGAUCGGCCACACUGGAACUGAGACACGGUCCAGACUCCUACGGGAGGCAGCAGUAGGGAAGCUUCCGCAAUGGGCGAAAGCCUGACGGAGCAACGCCGCGUGAGUGAUGAAGGGCUUCGGAUCGUAAAACUCUGUUAUUAGGGAAGAACAAAUUUGUAAGUAACUAUGCACGUCUUGACGGUACCUAAUCAGAAAGCCACGGCUAACUACGUG